rnacentral:rRNA from 1 species
CGAACGCUGGCGGCAGGCUUAACACAUGCAAGUCGAACGUGAAGCCGGACUUCGGUCCGGGGGAAAGUGGCGCACGGGUGAGUAACGCGUGGGAAUCUACCCAGCAGUACGGAAUAACUCCGGGAAACCGGUGCUAAUACCGCAUACGCCCCGAGGGGGAAAGAUUUAUCGCUGUUGGAUGAGCCCGCGUCGGAUUAGCUUGUUGGUGGGGUAAUGGCCCACCAAGGCUCCGAUCCGUAGCUGGUCUGAGAGGAUGAUCAGCCACACUGGGACUGAGACACGGCCCAGACUCCUACGGGAGGCAGCAGUGGGGAAUAUUGGACAAUGGGCGAAAGCCUGAUCCAGCCAUGCCGCGUGAGUGAAGAAGGCCCUAGGGUUGUAAAGCUCUUUCAGCGGGGAAGAUAAUGACGGUACCCGCAGAAGAAGCCCCGGCCAACUCCGUGCCAGCAGCCGCGGUAAGACGGAGGGGGCUAGCGUUGCUCGGAAUUACUGGGCGUAAAGCGCGCGUAGCGGUACGGCAAGUUGGGCGUGAAAGCCCAGGGCUCAACCCUGGAAUUGCGCUCAAAACUGCCGCACUGGA